rnacentral:rRNA from 1 species
AUCGCUAUCGGAUUGGCUCGCGUCCCAUUAGGCAGUUGGCGGGGUAACGGCCCGCCAAACCGACGAUGGGUAGGGGUUCUGAGAGGAAGGUCCCCCACAUUGGAACUGAGACACGGUCCAGACUCCUACGGGAGGCAGCAGUGAGGAAUAUUGGACAAUGGCCGAGAGGCUGAUCCAGCCAUGCCGCGUGCGGGAAGACGGCCCUAUGGGUUGUAAACCGCUUUUGUUGGAGAGCAAUAAGAGUUACGUGUAACUUGAUGAGAGUAUCCAGCGAAUAAGCAUCGGCUAACUCCGUGCCAGCAGCCGCGGUAAUACGGAGGAUGCAAGCGUUAUCCGGAUUUAUUGGGUUUAAAGGGUGCGUAGGCGGAUGAUUAAGCGUGAGGUGAAAUGCCACAGCUCAACUGUGGAACUGCCUCGCGAACUGGUUGUCUGGAAUGCCCCUGCCGUGGGAGGAAUGUGUGGUGUAGCGGUGAAAUGCAUAGAGAUCACACAGAACACCGAUUGCGAAGGCAUCUCACGAAGGGGUGAUUGACGCUGAGGCACGAAAGCGUGGGGAUCAAACAGGAUUAGAUACCCUGGU